GACGAACGCUGGCGGCGUGCUUAACACAUGCCAGUCGAACGGUGAAGCUCCAGCUUGCUGGAGUGGAUCAGUGGCGAACGGGUGAGUAACACGUGAGCAACCUGCCCCUGACUCUGGAAUAAGCGCUGGAAACGGCGUCUAAUACUGGAUACGAGAAGGGUCCGCAUGGGCACCUUCUGGAAAGUUUUUCGGUUGGGGAUGGGCUCGCGGCCUAUCAGCUUGUUGGCGAGGUAAUGGCUCACCAAGGCGACGACGGGUAGCCGGCCUGAGAGGGCGACCGGCCACACUGGGACUGAGACACGGCCCAGACUCCUACGGGAGGCAGCAGUGGGGAAUAUUGCACAAUGGGCGAAAGCCUGAUGCAGCGACGCCGCGUGAGGGAUGACGGCCUUCGGGUGGUAAACCGCUUUCAGCAGGGAAGAAGCGAAAGUGACGGUACCUGCAGAAGAAGCACCGGCUAACUACGU
rnacentral:rRNA from 1 species